rnacentral:rRNA from 1 species
CAGUCGCCGCGGGAAUACGGAAGGUCCAGGCGUUAUCCGGAUUUAUUGGGUUUAAAGGGAGCGUAGGCGGAUUAUUAAGUCAGUGGUGAAAGACGGUGGCUCAACCAUCGUUAGCCAUUGAAACUGGUAGUCUUGAGUGCAGACAGGGAUGCUGGAACUCGUGGUGUAGCGGUGAAAUGCUUAGAUAUCACGAUGAACUCCGAUCGCGAAGGCAGGUGUCCGGGCUGCAACUGACGCUGAGGCUCGAAAGUGUGGGUGUCAAACAGGAUUAGAUACCCCCGUAGUCCCUGUCUCUUAUACC